AGUGAACGCUGGCGGUAGGCCUAACACAUGCAAGUCGAACGGCAGCACAGUAAGAGCUUGCUCUUACGGGUGGCGAGUGGCGGACGGGUGAGGAAUACAUCGGAAUCUACUUUUUCGUGGGGGAUAACGUAGGGAAACUUACGCUAAUACCGCAUACGACCUACGGGUGAAAGCAGGGGAUCUUCGGACCUUGCGCGAUUGAAUGAGCCGAUGUCGGAUUAGCUAGUUGGCGGGGUAAAGGCCCACCAAGGCGACGAUCCGUAGCUGGUCUGAGAGGAUGAUCGGCGAAGCAGGAGCUGAGACACGGUGCAGACGCCUACGGGAGGCAGCAGUCGGGAAUGUUGGGGAAUGGGCGAAAGCCUGACAGAGCAACGCCGCGGGAGUGAUGAAGGUCUUCGGAUCGUAAAACCCUGUUAUUAGGAAAGAACGAAUGUGUAAGCAACUAUGCACGUCUUGACGGUACCUAAGCAGAAAGGCACGGCUAACUACGUG
rnacentral:rRNA from 1 species